rnacentral:rRNA from 1 species
UACGUAGGUGGCAAGCGUUGUCCGGAAUUAUUGGGCGUAAAGCGCGCGCAGGCGGUCCUUUAAGUCUGAUGUGAAAGCCCACGGCUCAACCGUGGAGGGUCAUUGGAAACUGGGGGACUUGAGUGCAGGAGAGAAGAGUGGAAUUCCACGUGUAGCGGUGAAAUGCGUAGAGAUGUGGAGGAACACCAGUGGCGAAGGCGGCUUCCUGGACACCAACUGACGCUGAGACGCGAAAGCGUGGGGAGCAAACAGG